UAGGGACUUGAAGGACCCUAAG
rnacentral:piRNA from 1 species